rnacentral:misc_RNA from 1 species
GGCUUUUGAGAAGAUUGUGAAAAUCUUUUGAAUUGAUGCCAAAUGAUCUUAUAAAAUAUACUAGCUAGCACCAGGAAAGGGAAGUAUCAUACAAUGUAUGGUUUAAAAUGGUCCAUUUUGAUACAGCUUUUCAUGGGCCAAUGUUUCAAUGAACCAUUUAUCUGCCAUUACUGUAUUGGAAUUCAAUGUCACCAGCGUUGACAAAAGUGGGAUAAAAAGAUUCCCACCUCCUUUUUUAGUAUUGGAGUUAACAUAUAAUUUUUUUUAUUUUUAUUUUUUGUAUUUGAAUUUUUUUAAUAAUUUAUUAUAUUCAAAAUAAUAAGUAUUAAUUAUUUAGUAGGCCAAUAUUUUAUUGAAAUCCUGUGGACACAUAGCAUUGAAUUGCCACGCUGCAACGAAGUUAGAGUUACACUUAUACUAAUCGUUUUAAACUUUUGAUAUGAUAGUAAACGCUUAAUCUUAAAUUGAUAUCAAAGUCGAGACCAUGGAUUCAAAUUCUUAACAAGUGCUAAUGGAAUUGUUGACACUAAAUGCAGAUAGUUUAAUGAGCCAGUGUCUUACCCAAAUCACUUUGGCUCAUAGCUCUUUUUUUU